rnacentral:lncRNA from 1 species
GUGUUUAAAUAUGUGCAUGCUCUCUUUUGGCUUUCACUGUGGUCUUUUUUAAUCUCUACUGUUAAUAGCUGAUGCAUGGAAUUAUUACUAAUAUUGGUAUCUAAGAAUUGUGCUCUUGUUCUCUGAUGUCCCCACUUGUUUUCAAGCCCAUUAACAAAACAAUGGAAUGUGGCUUGGUUUGGUUAUUCAGUCUUUUCCUGUCUCCACUUUGUUUUUUGGAGUUCCUUUUUUUUCUUUUUUUUCUUUUUUUUUUCUUGUGUUCGUUUUUUUUUUUUUUUUUUGUACCCAUUCUUUGUUAAGCAGCAAUUUCUGGAAUGCUUGGAGUAGGAGAGUUGAGACUAUCAUGGGGAAUAAAGAUUUGGAAUGUCGAUGAAGUGUUGAAUCCUAAUUCUCUGAUCUUCUGAAUUUAUAUCUUGACCUUGGCCAUGCUACUAGCCUUCAAUGACUAAGUGCUGAUGGUCCUUCAAACCAGUGGCUUAGAGCAAGUCUUCAAUUGCAUCAUCCGGGUUCUUCUGUUUCUACUAGGUCAUUAUUAAAAAGGAAGGAAAGGUCAUGUUGCUUCCUCGAUGACAUGAUGAUCCUUUGGAUGUGUCC